UACUACUGAUUGGUGCAAUUCAUUUCCUUGCAGAUCGGACGAUGGUGGAUGCUUGCCUUACAGAAGGUGCUCACUACCAGGACCUUGUUCAGGUGCAUAACUCAUAAGUGUUGCAGAUUUGAAAGACAAUCGGCACGCAAGACAAGGCAAAGACUGUUAUCUCAUGCGUGUUUGAUGCCAAUGCUGGAAUUACUUGAAAUGAUAAAUUUGUCUAUGCUCGCGUUAAAUGCUCACAAAGUGUUGGCUCUGAAUUGUGCUUGGUUAAAUAAAACAAUUUUUUGGUUGCAAGUAUCAUAAUGAAUAGACCUUUGUGCUUGUAUUUCCACAAUGUAUGUAUGAGUGUUGAAAUGUGUGUCGCAGCCUGUGUUUCAGGAUAAAUUGUGUCACAGGCCUGUAAACUGGAAGCCCAGGUCCGUUAUAAUGGAUCUGGACUAUCCAUUUUUUUAA